rnacentral:lncRNA from 1 species
GGGGGGGGGUAUUUUAAGUGUCAAAUAAAGAAAUUUCUGGCUAUAUACCGUAGCUACUUUGAAUUUGUAUACUAUUUCCCUCGUGUCUGGUCUUAUAAAAGGUUUUGAGAACUAAUUGUCAUCAAUCAGACAUGUUUUUAUGCUUUCUAGCUUUUGCCAUCACUUGUGACGUGUGUCGUCUGUCGUCCAUUAACCUUUACAAAGAUCAUCUCCUCUGAAACCAUAAAGAUCUAAAGUUAACUAAACUUGCAAUUGGUCACAAUCAUCACCGGGCUAUCUUAAUUGAAUAGCUGUCCUUAAUAAGAUGAAAGCCACAAUGUCAGUUACAAACACACGUACAGACUCAUGAACAUGUUGUUCAACUUGUUCAUACAUAAAAAAAU